rnacentral:rRNA from 1 species
UACGUAGGCAGCAAGCGUUGUUCGGAGUUACUGGGCGUAAAGGGUGCGUAGGCGGCUUUUUAAGUUUGGUGUGAAAUCUCCCGGCUCAACUGGGAGGGUGCGCCGAAUACUGAGAGGCUAGAGUGUGGGAGAGGAAAGUGGAAUUCCUGGUGUAGCGGUGAAAUGCGUAGAUAUCAGGAGGAACACCGGUGGUGUAACGCUUUCUGGACCAUAAACU